UGGAUUGGUUCUUUCUUUCAUUAGCUGAAAUUCAUUGCAUUCUAAUGAUAUUAGUCCUUUACUGUUGGAUUAUUUUUUCUAUAUUUAUUAUUUGCUUUAACUUUCAAUGGUGUUUCAAAUGUUAAGAAUCUUAAAGAAAAAGCGUUGUGCAGUUUCACAAUUUGGAUUAUGAAGUGAAGCCUGUCCCACUUUGGGUGUCCUUUGGUCCAUCCUGGAUCCUGGCAGAGCUUCUGCUUUCCUCCAGGGGCUGGUGAGAUGUCAGUCUUCUUGGCUGAGAAGCAGUUCCCUUGCAGGACCAACCCUCCAAGACUCCAGUGGUCUGGGACCCCAACCAAUGAGUGUGUCUUUAUUUCUAAGAUGGUGGCUGGGUGAGGAACAUGCUCACCUGUCCAAGCCCAAAGAGUGGACUAGGAGACAUGAGGGACAGCAGAAAGCAACACUUUACUUCAGUGAUGGUCUUGCAAGAUGGGAUGCCUGGUGGUCAGGGACCCCCAGAGUGUCCAACCAGAGUUUCAUUCCCUGGAGCGCAGGUCCCUUGCAGGGGACAUUGAAGUUAAGUUAUAGACAUGGACACUAUCUGAGUUGCUAAAAGGGGAGGACUCAUUAUUAUGGGCAAUUGCCAUCUCAACAAGCUAAUAUGUCUGGGAUGCAGGGCAGGACCAAAGGACACAAGAACAAAGCGAAAGUGAGCCCCAAAGGUUUAAAGGGGGGGGGGUGUGAGAACUAGGAAGUCCAGUGGUCCAUUUUCGGAAUACAGCGUCCAGCCUUGAAUGUGAUGUCACAUCCAGUCAAUGCCAUUUUAACUACAGCCCCUCCCUUUCCCGUCCCAAUUAGAACUAGCCAGUUGUGUAGGUGUAGCCCUAGCUCCCCCAUCAGAGCAAGGGGCAGAGCGGUCUGGGGAUAGAGCAGGCACACUCUGCCCAGGUGUGAGCCAGGCCGGGAGCGCACCUUCUGCAGAAGCAGAGCCUGCUCUGCCCAGCCACUUCCCAGCCCAGGUGGGAUUCCUAGGGACACCAGGUGUUUCUAAUAGGAGAACACCCCGAGUCCUGCAUCCUGGUGCCACAGGGGAACAGGGAAACCCCACACCUCGGUUCUUGUGUUCCAAUGAAAGAAAAUUGAAAGUCAGACACCAAAAUCACGCAAGAGGACUGUAUCACAAGUGAAGGGGAGGGAAGGCCAAGGGAGCCCGCAGAGCCCCCUCAGGGAGAGGGCGGCUCACCUCUGAGCAGGGAAGACAGAGGGGGUCAAACUCAUCGUUUGCCUUGAGGACUGGGGCCCCCUUCAGCAAUCUUCCCUAAUCGGGAGUCCAACUCCUCCUCCGCCCCGGGCAGUGGAGAUUUUGACCCUAGUUGGUCCUCUCUGGAUCGGUGGUGGUGGCCAUCCUAUUCCAGGGGCUUCUCUACAAGUGAACCCAUGGUAAUGUCACCGGGGUCAGUCACUGGCCAGAAGUUACCACAGUGGACCAGUGCUACUAGAGGAACCUCCCUUCCCAACAAGUGGGGACUCUCGCCAGGAAUCCCCGCUUCACAGCAACCCCAGUGGACCCGCGAGAGUCAGGCCCCUGCACCUUUCCUCCUGGUGUGCUGUCCAGUUGGCUCCUUCGCUUCUGCUUGGCCGGCAAUGGCUAUUGUCCACUUUUAAAGAAGGUCAUUUGAAGAAGACUCUGAAGUCAUUUAAGUGACACCUGGGACCUACUCAAGUGUCUCAGUGCUCACUCCAACUCCUUCCCCACGCCGUGACUAGCUGCCUGGCCUGGAAUGGCACCAGUGUCCAGUGCUGCCCCUGGUGGCAAGUGUCCCUCCAGGCUUCCUGUUGGCCCACUGUGGGGUCUUUGGAAAGCAGACUUCUCAACUCCUCUUUUCAGGUCACCUCUUGACCUCCAAGAGGCCAGCAGAGCCUCUCGUGGGGACCACUGCUUCUGCUGGUUUAGCGGGCAGCUUCCUUCUGGGCAGCUUCGACUACUUGCUGUGUCUCCCAGGUUUCUGUGCUGAGCACUGAGGUGGGGCUUUUCUUCUGGGCUGUGACCUAGUGACCCUGCACCUGUCCCCACAGUUUCCCAGACUGCCCCAGGCCAUGCCCGGCCUUGUAACCCUAAGGUGGUGCCAGGGUCAGCCUUGGGACCGGGCCCUGGGUCCAGGGAGAGUGACGGCUGUGCUACUGUGUGCUGUGUUGGGAGGGGCCAGCAGAGUCCUUUCUGGAGGAAUCCUGCUGGACCCCAGCCUCUGGCUAAGGGCCCUUGUCCUCAGUACUCCACGCAUUCCCAGCUUCUCACCUCCUGGAGCCAUAGGGGAGUUGCAUGUUUCUGGAACUGGGUGCCCUUGGAGGACCUUAAGGUGGGUAAAUAGAGGGUUGGAAAAGCCGGGUGCCAUUGGUGAUGACGACCUCACAGAAGUGACAAAGCUGGCCCUGGGAAGGCGCUGUCAGCUCCGUGCAGUCCCUGGGCCUCAGCCAGUACCAGGGCAUAUGGCCUUGGACUCCAGGCUGAAUUCUGUACCUGCUGAGCUCCAGGGUCCCCAGCGGAGCCUCCGUGGCCCCCAAGGGCUGCCCUUGGUGCCCAUCCUGAUCCCAGGUGUCCAGGUGCUCAGGGCCCAGGGUGCAGUGCAGCUGGUUAAACAUGCCAGCAGAUGUGCCCAAGAUGUCCUCGUGCAAACGGCAGCUGCUGGGGACCAGCCCAGGGCUGUGGGGAAGGGGGGCCACUCUAGGUGAGGCUCAUGGCCCCUUCUUGUGGGAGCCCCUCAGCAGGGACUCCACAAAUCAGACCCUUUCCAGUGGGCCCCUGCCCUGGGGGUCUUCCUGCUCCACUCCUCAGUGGGCUUCCUUUCUGGGUGCCCCCAAAGCUCCAAGACUCCCCUCCUUUGGACAAUCUGUGAGGUACUCAUACUGUGUCCUCAGCCGCUUGGGCUUUGGGGGCAGUGUAUGGUCCUGGGCACCCUCCUUGCUCAGCCCACCUGCCCUUGUCCAGUCUCAUGGGGCUCGUGUGUCUGGGCUCUGCUGGCCCCACCCCAGCUCCAGCUUCAGCCUCCCCAGGAUGCUCUUUGGUGCCCUGCAGGUGCAGGAGCCAGCCAGGGCCACCCCUCCUGGGUGGGGUCCUAGGCCCAAGUGUCCCUUCACCAGGAUGGGGGAAGCCUCUGCCAGCUCUCGGGGUGCCCGGCUCCUUGCACGCCUACUCACAGCCCGGGGCUCCUGUCCCUACCUAGCUAGCACAGAACAGGGGACACGGUCUGCCUUGAGCCACAGCUGGCCUCUGCAUUACCCCCAGCGUUGGGAGGGACAUCUCCCUCUGCCUCCUCUGCAGUCAGCUCUGGAUUCUGUAGGGAUGGAACAUGCUUCCUGGAGUAGGUGUCAGCUCCAUCAGGUUCUGGGUGGUUGGAGCUCAAAGCAAAGUUCCAUCCCCUAGCUGAGACCUGGGCCUUGGGCAGGGAGGGGAAGGAGUGCUGGGUGGUCUUGAAGGGGAUCCUGGUGACACCAACAGCAGGGAUAUCACCUGGACCUGAUCAGCACCUGCUUAGUGAAAAGCCCCCAGUUCAGCCUCAGAAGAGCCUCAUGCCCCAACAGGGUGAUGGGGGCCAUUCCAUCCUGAGCAGGAGUGUGUGAUCCUGAGAGGAGGGAUGUGGAGGCCACCAGCUUACCUCUGGGCUCUGAAUGGCCUCAGGCACCAGGAGAGGAGUCCACGGCUGCAGGGUGGGAUGCUUGGAGGCCUGCAGUUUCCACAGGUGUUCUUGGAGCUCCUCCUAGGGGUGUUCUGUGGCGGCUGUGACAAGGUGCAUAUUUAUUCUCCCCCAGCUGUGGAGGCCAGAAGCCUGCAGGAGUCUGACUGGGCCUGGGUCACAGGGUGGCAGGCCAAGCCCCUAGAGGUUCCCCGUUUUCCCAGCUUCCAGGCCGAGGUCCCCAUCCCCGGCCUUUCCCGUCCUCUCAGAUGCUGUUCCCCCUGCUCUGUCUUCCCACAGCUCCCCCCCUCUGUGUCAGGUCCCCUCUUGAUGAACCCAGCCUAAUUCCGUCUGAAGACUGAGAGUCGUAUCAUCACGACCUAUGAAAAGUUCAUUUCUCUUUUACUAUAAAACACUAAGACUUCUAUUUGGCCUGACAACCUGAUGUCCAAACUCGUUUGGAAUUCCUGCCCGUGCUCUGAACUCGCCCAUGCCUGGCUCUCCCUGACCAAUAACAGCAGCGCCUCCUAAAUUCUAAAUUCUUCCUAAAUUAACCUGCCAUCUUCCCUAGUAUUACGCUGGCCAGAACCCCGUUAGCUGUAAGGUCCCAAGACACCCCUCUUCGUAACUCUUUGUGCCAUAAAACCUUUUACCUGGACCCUGGGCUGCUGAUCUCUAGCCCGGCUUUGGGAGAGACAACCACUGGCCAGCGUUGUGCACACAAUGCAAGCUUGCUUUAAUCUGAUUUAAAAUGGAGUUGGUGGUCUUUUCUUUGCGUUGUGGUUCAACACCUCUGCCUCCCUCCAUGAGGACACCCACUUACCCAGGACCCCACCAUCUCACCAUCCUACAUGGGUUGUGCUUGCCAAGGCCCCUUUCCACAUAAGGCCCAGCCCCAGAGAUGGACCUGAACUUCAUUAGGAAUCCUCUUUCGGCCCCACCCACUCAAGGCCACAGGGCAGGGCCUGCCUUCUGGGUGGCUGCCAGGGUCUGACACUUCUGCCCCUUGGAUUUCAGACCCUCUGCACAGGGGCCUUUGGUGUGCCUGUGGAGGGCAGUGGGGUGAGUGUGGUGAGCCGCUUCUGCCGUUUCUGCAGACUAUGGUCGCCAUUACAAGAUGACGCUGGCUCCGCUGUGGUCUGUGACAAACAACUCCUUAUCUGGGAGAGUUGGCACAUGAUUUUUCACCACCCUGUGAGAAAGCUCCACGCGGCAGCUUUGCAUUGGGGCUUGGGAUGCUUUAUUAAGGCUGGGAGGGGCAUCCGAGAGAGAGAGAAGAAGAAAUAUCAAGGGCCUGAAUAAACUGUUGAAAGAAGAUUCCCGAGUUGCGUCUUCCUUGCGGGCAAGGGGUCGCGACAAGUGGUGCCGAGACCCGGGAACCAGAACUUUCAGCAGUCAGGGGUGGUGCACCGGUUAGUCCCAGGUAUAAGAGAACACGUGCGUCUGGGUAUCUCCUGAUGAAGAGAGCUCACAAAACAACUCUUCCCUGAUGUUUGAUGUUAUCUUUUUGGUCUGGGAGCAAUGCCUGUGCCCCUUGCCACCCAGCAGAACCACAGAGAGGAGGAAAGCUCGAUUUCUGGCUCACGGUUGUGGAGGUUCAGUCCAGGGUCCACUACUCCAGCCCUGAGGAGGGCAGAUCAUCGUGGUGGAAAGGCGCCCACGAGUGGUUGCCAGGGAGGGGGGGGGUCAAGGGACAAAAUAGGUGAUACCCAGACCUGCUACAGGGCACCAUCUGCACUGGCCAGGCCCCACUACAGUCACCACCCAGCACAGUGGCCCUUUCAAAUUAUUAAUCCGCCCAACAGAUGAAUCCACCCAUUAGGCCACAGCUCUCCUAGCCUGAUCCAUGUCACCUCUGAACAUUCCUACAUUAGCAGAAGCUUUGGGGGGACACGUCGUAUCCAAACUGUAACAAUACUGAGCAGAUUUUCAAAGGGCUCUAGGAAAAAAACACAUCACGUUUUAAUGGUACUCACUCCACAUUGAGAGCAAAAAAAGGGGAAAAUAGAGGAUUCAAUGCACAGGCGGAGGAGAGCGUGCACACACACCGGCAAGGCUGAUGAUGAAACUGUGCUCCACACACAUCCUGAUCCUGACGAAGGAAGGAGUGAGGCCUGUGGAGCCGGGACCUGGGCUGCGGGCUCAAGUGUUCCCAGGUGUCCCCGGGCUCCUCCCCAGGUGUCCCCGGGCUCCUCCCCAGGAGCUGUGUCUCUGUGACCUUCCCUGGCAACAGAGACCUGACACGUGAUUCAAUCAACUGUCUUGAGAGGGCAGGAUAUUCUCCUGGACCCUCUGGGAAGACUCAAUAUAAUCCUGAGCAUCCGUAUACGUGGGUAGGAGAUCCAGAGCGAGGAGCAGAGAUUGGAAUGAUGGCCUCCGAGGGGCAGGGAGAAGCCCAUGCCCAGUGAGAUAGGUGGCUCCAGGAAGACGGAGAGGCACGGCAGAGGAGCCUCACUGCACAGCCCUCCGGGGGGACAGCUCUGCCUCCAUUCUGUCUUUAGACCAAGGGGGGUGCAGGGGCACUGAGAAGCUGUUCCUUGAGAAUCUGUUUCUUGAGCAGCAAAUGGUGGAGGUUCGCACACCCUGGCUCCUUCCUGCUGCUCUUCUCGCUGUGACCCGGCUGCCAUGAGCCGAGCAGCCCUCGUCUGCCACCCCUUCCCACCCGCUUGCUCUGUCUCACCUCAGGCACCUAGAAAUGGGGUCUGCUGACCAUGGAUACCUGUGAAACUGCGAGCCACCGGAACCUUUUCCUUCUCCAAGCUGAACUUCUAGGUGUUUUGGUCCCAGCAAUGCAAAGCUAACCAACACAGAAAUUAGUGUUCAAAGUGGGUCGUUGCCGGGACUCACCUGACCAAGGGGUUCAGGAGUCUUUGGAACUGGCUUGGGGAGGAGUCUGGAAAAUUCCGGAGGUGCAGGCCAGAGAGGCAUCACCAUGUUGUAGGCAGACUUAAAAAGGGAAGUGCUCAUGGAACCUCCGAAGCCGUUUGCUGGUGGAAAUGCAGAGGGCCAAGAACGUGUUUGCUGUGGUUUAGAGGGAACAGGGCUCUACUGGAAGUGGUGUUAGAGGCCACUCAUGCUGCCCUCUGGAAAGGGACGUGUCCGCCUGCCAUCCUUGCCCUGUGACUGUGGGUGAGACAGAAUUGAAAGUGAGGAUCCAAUUAAUCCGGUGGAAGAAAUUUCAAGGUAGCCUAGCAUCUGUGUGGUGGAAUGGGUAUUGCUGCAACUUUAGCCAGGUUUACUGUGACAAUCAGGAGCAGGGAGCAGAGAGGAAGGAUUUUAAAAACUUGAGUGAUGGCCACAGAGCACAUGUAAACUCAGGAGCAGGGGUGCUCUGGCUGCCGGAGAGGUUAGGGCCAGAGAGGAGAAACCAAGUCCUCCACAUGGAGACAAAGGAAAGGUGGCUCGGGGGCACUCAGGAGGCAGCAGGCCGUCCACUGCAGGUGCCUGGGUGUAAAAGUGGAAACUCACUUGAGCACCUAGGAAGCUGAUUCCCCAGGCCCGUUUCCCCAUGCUCAGCUGACCAGGCCACCCCAGCCGUGGUCCAAGAGGCCUGGCUACUGAGCCUGCUGGCAGCAGGUCCUGGCCUCACGCCUGGGGUGUGGGUUUUGCAGGCAGAAAUGAAAACUGUGGAAGUUAUGGGCCAUGGGAACUUCCAUGGAGAUUUCAAAGGGAAGCCUGGGGCCAGGCAAGAUGUGGCAGGGCCAGAGUUCCUUUGGGCACCUCUGACAGGGCAGUCCACGCCUCUGAGGAGCAAAGCUGACCCUUCAAUGGAGAGCCUAGGAAGUAAAAGAGGUGCAGGCCGGAGAGGCAUCACCAUGUUGUAGGCAGACUUGAAAAGGGAAGUGCUCAAGGAACCUCCGAAGCCGAGAUUGCAGGUGGAAAUGCAGAGAGCCAAGAACGUGGGAGAGCUGCUGAGAACAGCUGCAGGAGUCAAGCACAGCCAACCAGAGACAGGCCACGUGAGCCACAGCAGGCCAAGCCACAGGCGUCCGGCUACCCAGGCCCUGUGGUUGGUAUCCGAGCAACCCAAGUCCAGGAUGCUGGACGUGGAGCUACAGGCCUUCAUGUAAGCCCAGUUGGGUUUUGGUCCGUUUGGUUGCAUUUCUUAUUUCUGUGCCCUGUUCUUCCCUAUUGGAACAGGAAUGCUUUCUCUGGGCAAUUGUCUUUUUUUUUCCAUGGGGGGAAAAAAGAACAUUUAUUUAUUUCCAUUGGAUUCCAUUUCACUGGCCCACUCUGUGCAGACCAUUGUGCAGGGUCUGAGAAUUCCAGUUGUUCAGAUCUGGUCUCCACCUGGCCUUGCUCCAACCUCUCUCUAUUGUAAGCAGGCAUCUCUGCUUCCAACCCAACCAAAUUAGCUGCAUUAGGUUGAGUCAGAUGCAGUAACAAACAUGUUCAAAAUCUUAGAUGUUUACUUCUUAUUCUCACUGCCCAUCUGAAACAGGUGGGAUGAGAGUCUGACCAUCUAGUCACUCAGGACCACAGGGGGACAAAGAGUUAACUGUGAAUGACAUCACCAUCUCAAACCAAGGGGAAACCAAGGGGAAACAGCAGACUGUAUUGAAGGGCUUCCAACCAAAAGGAAGCCAGGUCAUUCCUGCUCUUAGUUUAGUGGCCAAAGCAGUCACAACACCAUGCUUAAUUUGAUGGGAUUAAGAAGGGAUGCUUUCCUGUGUUUGGAAGAAGAGGAGAAACAGAACUAUUGGUAAUCACUACAAAUAUGAUCUGCAAUCCACACCCCCCUCCCUAAUGUUCUUCGUUCCCUGAUCCUGUUUUGUCCAAAUGUAAUGCAAUUGUCUUUUGAAAGCACCUCACUUGCUUUGAGUUCUGUGAGGACGUGAGUCUUGGAGGAGACUGGGCCUGGACUUUGAGCUAUGCUGAGAUGGUUAAGACUUUUGGGGACUCUCUGGGAGGUUGAGACGACAUCUCACACUGUGACAUGUGCGUUAGUUUGUAGGGCCAGUGGUAAAACCCGUGCCUUGUAUCUGGCAUGCCCUCACAAUGGUUCCAUGAUCAGACGAGUGGUCCACAGAUGAAUAAAUCUCAGAGGUGGGGCUUUAGGACACCCAGGUUGUGCGGGCUGUGACAUUCCAGGGCACAAGUCCUCAGAUGGAUUAACAAUGUGAAUGGACUGUGAGGUGAUGGCUCUAGGCAGUGGGGUUUGGCUGGAGAAGUCAGGUAACUGGGGACAUGCCCUGGGAAUGAUGACUGUCCCUGACCCUCCCAGUUCUGUCUCUCUCUUUGCGACCUGGCUGUUGUGAGUGGAACAGCUCUCUCUGCCACACCUUCUCCCCUUGUUGUUCUCAUGGCAGGCCCAGUGCAAUGGAGCUGGCUGACUGUGGAACCAGACCUCUACAACUGUGAGUCAAAGUAGAAAUUCCUCCUGCAGGUUGUUCCUGUUGAGCCUUGGGUCACAACAGUGCAAACUGACUAACCCCACCACAGGGCAGGAGGAGGCCUGAUGGACGGGAGCGCAGUCACUGUCCCUGAAAGGGCACCCUUAGCUGCACUCUGCCAUGGCUGGGGCCACGUUCCUAAGUGUAGAGGGCUCCUGAGCACCUCCCACUGUCCUGAGUGCUGGCUGCUUGGCCUGGGGGCCCCUGCUGGCCCUGGGUGCCCUGCAGGGAGGCUCGCGUCUGGCCUCACAGUGCCAUUCACAGCCCUUGUGAUGCCUGUCACACAGCGAUGCACAGUGCCCCCUGUGGUGGGAGAAGUGUUCCUGGAUGUGUGGGCAGCCAUGCUGACGUGUCCUGGAAAGCCAGGUUUCCUCUUGGCCCCUGUCCGGCACCCCACCCACUCCAGGGUUCUCCCAGGAUGUUGGCAGAUCCGAUUCUGGUACUUCCCACUAGAGAGUGAGGCUCUGGACACGGGGUCAGUGAGGCCCAGAAUCUGUGAGGGCUUUUCCAGAGCUGGGCCCAGCUCCUGCCGUGUCGACUCAGACAGGACACAGGAGACAGAGAGCCAGUUGGUCCAGGGUUUCCACACCCAGGCCAGCAGCCAGCGCAGAGGAGGGGCCACAGCAUCUGCCUGGUGUGUGCAUGGUGAAGGUCCCUACAGUGGCCUGGCCUGGGAUGGGGACUUUUUCUGUCAGUGCCCAGCAUAAUUUGAGUGUGUGCCCUUGGGGGUGGAAGAGGCUGAGCCAGGUGACUGUCCCUGCUUCCUAGUAACCUGGGCUGCCGGGUGGGAGCUGCUGCACCUGGCCCUGGUGAACCGGCUCUCCGCCCUGGCCAAGCUGUUCUUUGUUCUGACUAUGGAUGCAAUAGUGCUGCGGUCAGUGAGCAUGUACGUAAAAUAUCCGAGUUUUCUCUCGAGGUGUUAUGUGAAGCUGUCAGGUUGUGCCUGCCAAUUUAAUGUCUGGAAAUACUCUCUGUGCAGGUGGGUGUAGGGCUCUGGUGCAGACUCCAGACCUUGGCCACAGGCAUGGGACGUUAUGUUCUGUGCUAAUCAGAGAUGGGUCAUGGGAAAGAUUCUUAGUGAUUUCCCAGGCAGUGUGUCCAUCCACAAAAGAGGUCAGUGUCUUGGCAUUGAUACAGGAAAGUGACCCUACCCACGUGGACUUCUUAGCAGGAGCUUGGUCACAGACAUGUCAUGUCUGAGAAGGGUCUGAGGACGUGGUGGCACUGGGCUGGGAUUAGUGUUCAUGAGGUUCUGCUGAAGGUUGAGAGGACACCCACGAGCAGGAGGGUGACCAUGACUCCCUACCCAGGACAGUACCCCUCCCACUCUGCUUGCCCGACAGAGAGCCCAGGAGGUGCAGACCAGCUCUGGGCUGGCGAGAAAUGGGAAACAGAGGCUACUCCAACAGAGCGGCCUGGACUGCACCGCCUAGUGGGUCCAGUGGGCAGCUCCCUUCAGGAGGUCCGCAGCUGAAGUGCUGACCUCAGGCAGAGCCUGCCCUGGGCCCUGGGCCUCGCUCCCCACUGUGAACACACCAUCACCAGGUCUGGGAGAUGCUCCAAAACCAACUCAAGAACAAAGAACAGGAAACUGGCAGGAAGCGGAGACCACAGGAGUAAACCUGUCUCUCCUCAUUUUCUCCAAGCAAAAAUGUUGGCCAUUCCACGUGAAAGAGGAGCACGGUGUUGAGGAGAAGGCACGGCUGGGAAGGAUGGCUCCACGGGCAUUUCCAUAGCCCAGGGAAGGGGAGUGAGACUCACCUACCCAGGUCCAUCAUCCAGACAUCAGAAAGCAGAACACACCCCUUUUCUUUUUCUUAAAGACAGGAAGUGAUGAGAAAGGCUGCUGUCCUGCAUGGCUGGACCAUCUUGAUGGCUCCUUCACAGAUGAAGGGGCCUUCACUUGUUUGUGGGGUUGUGGGUUAUGCAUGCAGUGGUGUGAACAUCUCAUGCCGAAUUUUGCUGGUACAUGUUACUUUGUUUUUUCUUUUAUAUAAAUUAUAUAUAUAUAUAUUUAGUGGUCAA